UACAGUGUACCACACCAAGGAACUCCCACACUCUGAAUGAACAGCCCAGUGAUCAGGAGCUUUGAAUCAAUUCUUGGCACCUAACACUUUGUGAAGAGUCUGCUAAACUCCCUCUAUCAGAAAUCCCAGAAGACUGAGAACAGGUCAUCCUUGGAGCUGUAUCUGAAUGGAGUCAGGAUCUGGAAGCCCAAGUCUCCUUGUCAAUGUCCGCUUGGUUCCCAAGGACACCUGUAAAUGGAAGAGGGGCAU
rnacentral:lncRNA from 1 species